UGGUUCUGGCAUCGAUGAAGAACGCAGCGAAAUGCGAUAAGUAAUGUGAAUUGCAGAAUUCAGUGAAUCAUCGAAUCUUUGAACGCACAUUGCGCCCCUUGGUAUUCCGAGGGGCAUGCCUGUUCGAGCGUCAUUACAACCCUCAAGCACUGCUUGGUAUUGGGCCCCGCUGCUAACGCUGCGGGCCUUAAAAUCAGUGGCGGCGCCGCUGGGCUCUGAGCGUAGUAAAUUUCCUCGCUACGGAGUCCUGGCGGUGGUGGUCAUCAACCCCCCCAACUUUCUAAGUUUGACCUCGGAUCAGGUAGGGAUACCCGCUGA
rnacentral:misc_RNA from 1 species